rnacentral:rRNA from 1 species
GAUGAACGCUGGCGGCGUGCCUAAUACAUGCAAGUCGAGCGAACGGACGAGAAGCUUGCUUCUCUGAUGUUAGCGGCGGACGGGUGGGUAACACGUGGAUAACCUACCUAUAAGACUGGGAUAACUUCGGGAAACCGGAGCUAAUACCGGAUGAUAUUUUGAACCGCAUGGUUCAAAAGUGAAAGACGGUCUUGCUGUCACUUAUAGAUGGAUCCGCGCUGCAUUAGCUAGUUGGUAAGGUAACGGCUUACCAAGGCAACGAUGCAUAGCCGACCUGAGAGGGUGAUCGGCCACACUGGAACUGAGACACGGUCCAGACUCCUACGGGAGGCAGCAGUAGGGAAUCUUCCGCAAUGGGCGAAAGCCUGACGGAGCAACGCCGCGUGAGUGAUGAAGGUCUUCGGAUCGUAAAACUCUGUUAUUAGGGAAGAACAUAUGUGUAAGUAACUGUGCACAUCUUGACGGUACCUAAUCAGAAAGCCACGGCUAACUACGUGCCAGCAGCCGCGGUAAUACGUAGGUGGCAAGCGUUAUCCGGAAUUAUUGGGCGUAAAGCGCGCGUAGGCGGUUUUUUAAGUCUGAUGUGAAAGCCCACGGCUCAACCGUGGAGGGUCAUUGGAAACUGGAAAACUUGAGUGCAGAAGAGGAAAGUGGAAUUCCAUGUGUAGCGGUGAAAUGCGCAGAGAUAUGGAGGAACACCAGUGGCGAAGGCGACUUUCUGGUCUGUAACUGACGCUGAUGUGCGAAAGCGUGGGGAUCAAACAGGAUUAGAUACCCUGGUAGUCCACGCCGUAAACGAUGAGUGCUAAGUGUUAGGGGGUUUCCGCCCCUUAGUGCUGCAGCUAACGCAUUAAGCACUCCGCCUGGGGAGUACGACCGCAAGGUUGAAACUCAAAGGAAUUGACGGGGACCCGCGCAAGCGGUGGAGCAUGUGGUUUAAUUCGAAGCAACGCGAAGAACCUUACCAAAUCUUGACAUCCUUUGACAACUCUAGAGAUAGAGCCUUCCCCUUCGGGGGACAAAGUGACAGGUGGUGCAUGGUUGUCGUCAGCUCGUGUCGUGAGAUGUUGGGUUAAGUCCCGCAACGAGCGCAACCCUUAAGCUUAGUUGCCAUCAUUAAGUUGGGCACUCUAAGUUGACUGCCGGUGACAAACCGGAGGAAGGUGGGGAUGACGUCAAAUCAUCAUGCCCCUUAUGAUUUGGGCUACACACGUGCUACAAUGGACAAUACAAAGGGCAGCGAAACCGCGAGGUCAAGCAAAUCCCAUAAAGUUGUUCUCAGUUCGGAUUGUAGUCUGCAACUCGACUACAUGAAGCUGGAAUCGCUAGUAAUCGUAGAUCAGCAUGCUACGGUGAAUACGUUCCCGGGUCU